rnacentral:rRNA from 1 species
UACACUCCUACGGGAGGCAGCAGUGGGGAAUAUUGGACAAUGGGCGCAAGCCUGAUCCAGCCAUGCCGCGUGAGUGAUGAAGGCCCUAGGGUUGUAAAGCUCUUUCACCGGUGAAGAUAAUGACGGUAACCGGAGAAGAAGCCCCGGCUAACUUCGUGCCAGCAGCCGCGGUAAUACGAAGGGGGCUAGCGUUGUUCGGAUUUACUGGGCGUAAAGCGCACGUAGGCGGACUAUUAAGUCAGGGGUGAAAUCCCGGGGCUCAACCCCGGAACUGCCUUUGAUACUGGUAGUCUUGAGUUCGAGAGAGGUGAGUGGAAUUCCGAGUGUAGAGGUGAAAUUCGUAGAUAUUCGGAGGAACACCAGUGGCGAAGGCGGCUCACUGGCUCGAUACUGACGCUGAGGUGCGAAAGCGUGGGGAGCAAACAGGAUUAGAUACCCCUGUAGUUCCAUGA